rnacentral:rRNA from 1 species
UGGUAAUGCCGGAUGCUCCAACUGUCCGCAUGGUUUGUUGGGAAAGCUUUCGCGGUAUGGGAUGGGGUCGCGUCCUAUCAGCUUGACGGCGGGGUAACGGCCCACCGUGGCUUCGACGGGUAGCCGGCCUGAGAGGGCGACCGGCCACAUUGGGACUGAGAUACGGCCCAGACUCCUACGGGAGGCAGCAGUGGGGAAUAUUGCACAAUGGGCGCAAGCCUGAUGCAGCGACGCCGCGUGAGGGAUGGAGGCCUUCGGGUUGUAAACCUCUUUUAUCGGGGAGCAAGCGAGAGUGAGUUUACCCGUUGAAUAAGCACCGGCUAACUACGUGCCAGCAGCCGCGGUAAUACGUAGGGUGCAAGCGUUAUCCGGAAUUAUUGGGCGUAAAGGGCUCGUAGGCGGUUCGUCGCGUCCGGUGUGAAAGUCCAUCGCUUAACGGUGGAUCCGCGCCGGGUACGGGCGGGCUUGAGUGCGGUAGGGGAGACUGGAAUUCCCGGUGUAACGGUGGAAUGUGUAGAUAUC